AUACCCUUCUCUGUGUGGUGGGCACAAAAUAACCUGGUGGAGACGCUAGAAUGUCUUCUCCUGAGGAGAGAUGAAGGGGAUGAUUCAGAACAUGAACUCUUUUGGCAAGAGGAUCAAGAGCCCCAGCCCUGUGCGAUUGAUUCUUGGGCUGAAGGAUCUGUACCUGUGCUUCAUGCUGCUCUGGAAUAGCACAAGGUUUAUAUGACAUUCCAAACAGCCUGAAGUGAAAAAGACUGGUGGACCAGACAGAGAACUACUCCACCUUCAACCUGCUACCGCUCAAUGCCAAUAGAGUGAUGAUACCGAAUUAUUCACGAAAACUGAAGAAAAUCUGACUUCCUUAAAACUCAGUCCAAACAUAAGCAAAGGAACUCAAAAGAAGCAAGUCUCUGAUCUUCUUAUGGUAUAAUUGCCUCUAUUGCUUGCCAAGUUUAGUCCUAAUUCACUUAAGAACUAAAAAAAUAAUUUCAUUUGGGUCUCUCAGCCUCAAAACACUGACUCAUCAAACACAGUUUGGGCCUGAGGUGAGGAAACAGUGAUCCCAUGAGCUCCAAACACUCAUGAACUGAUGUUGUAGCCCUUAGGCCACAGCUGGUAACAGACCAGAACAGUGGGAACCAAGGCUGAAAAACAAAACAAAAAAACAGUCAUCUUACCCUACUAUAAAAUAUGAAAUAAAUAAAUGAAUGACAUGUACUGAAGCAUCCCUCUGCGGACAAUGUAAAGACAUUUCUUACUGCACUAUUUUGUAUUGAGUAAAUCAGUGCCUUGCCUGCAUUUUUCUGUGACUGUUGUGGCAGAAACACACAGUUAGACCUAAUUAAUCUUCGACAUCUGUCUUUUAUUCAUACCUGCAAUUCAAUGAAUAAUUUAAUGA